rnacentral:rRNA from 1 species
UCCGCUAAAGAGGGUGAAAGCCCCGUAGACGAAAUGCUGACAACACCUAGGAGGAUCCUGAGUACGGCGGAACACGAGAAAUUCCGUCGGAAUCCGCGGGGACCAUCCCGCAAGGCUAAAUACUCCCUAGUGACCGAUAGUGAACCAGUACCGUGAGGGAAAGGUGAAAAGCACCCCGGAAGGGGAGUGAAAUAGAUCCUGAAACCGUGUGCCUACAACAAGUCAAAGCUCGUUAAUGAGUGAUGGCGUGCCUUUUGUAGAAUGAACCGGCGAGUUACGAUUGCAUGCGAGGUUAAGUCGAAGAGACGGAGCCGCAGCGAAAGCGAGUCUGAAUAGGGCGAAUGAGUAUGUAGUCGUAGACCCGAAACCAUGUGAUCUACCCAUGUCCAGGUUGAAGGUGCGGUAAAACGCACUGGAGGACCGAACCCACGUACGUUGAAAAGUGCGGGGAUGAGGUGUGGGUAGCGGAGAAAUUCCAAACGAACUUGGAGAUAGCUGGUUCUCUCCGAAAUAGCUUUAGGGCUAGCCUCGGAAUUGAGAAUGAUGGAGGUAGAGCACUGUUUGGACUAGGGGCCCAUCUCGGGUUACCGAAUUCAGAUAAACUCCGAAUGCCAUUCAUUUAUAUCCGGGAGUCAGACUGCGAGUGAUAAGAUCCGUAGUCGAAAGGGAAACAGCCCAGACCACCAGCUAAGGUCCCAAAAUAUAUGUUAAGUGGAAAAGGAUGUGGGGUUGCACAGACAACUAGGAUGUUGGCUUAGAAGCAGCCACCAUUUAAAGAGUGCGUAAUAGCUCACUAGUCGAGUGACCCUGCGCCGAAAAUGUACCGGGGCUAAACAUAUUACCGAAGCUGUGGACUACACCAUUAGGUGUAGUGGUAGGAGAGCGUUCUAAGGGCGUUGAAGGUCGAUCGUGAGGACGGCUGGAGCGCUUAGAAGUGAGAAUGCCGGUAUGAGUAGCGAAAGACAGGUGAGAAUCCUGUCCACCGUAUGACUAAGGUUUCCUGGGGAAGGCUCGUCCGCCCAGGGUUAGUCGGGACCUAAGCCGAGGCCGAUAGGCGUAGGCGAUGGACAACAGGUUGAUAUUCCUGUACCAGUUGUUUUUGUUUGAGCAAUGGAGGGACGCAGUAGGCUAAGGAAUGCAUGCGAUUGGAAGUGCAUGUCCAAGCAAUGAGUCUUGAGUAGAGUUAAAUGCUUUACUCUCUAAGGACAAGUUGUGACGGGGAGCGAAAUAAUAGUAGCGAAGUUCCUGAUGUCACACUGCCAAGAAAAGCUUCUAGUGAGAAAACAACUGCCCGUACCGUAAACCGACACAGGUAGUCGAGGAGAGUAUCCUAAGGUGAGCGAGCGAACUCUCGUUAAGGAACUCGGCAAAAUGACCCCGUAACUUCGGGAGAAGGGGUGCUGACUUCGGUCAGCCGCAGUGAAUAGGCCCAAGCGACUGUUUAUCAAAAACACAGGUCUCUGCAAAAUCGUAAGAUGAAGUAUAGGGGCUGACGCCUGCCCGGUGCUGGAAGGUUAAGAGGAUGGGUUAGCUUCGGCGAAGCUCAGAAUUGAAGCCCC